UUGUUGGGUAGGGGAGCGUUCUGUAAGCCGUUGAAGGUGACCUGUGAGGGUUGCUGGAGGUAUCAGAAGUGCGAAUGCUGACAUAAGUAACGAUAAUGCGGGUGAAAAACCCGCACGCCGGAAGACCAAGGGUUCCUGUCCAACGUUAAUCGGGGCAGGGUGAGUCGACCCCUAAGGCGAGGCUGAAAAGCGUAGUCGAUGGGAAACAGGUUAAUAUUCCUGUACUUGGUGUUACUGCGAAGGGGGGACGGAGAAGGCUAGGCUGGCCGGGCGACGGUUGUCCCGGUUUAAGCGUGUAGGGGGAGUGACCAGGUAAAUCCGGUUGCUUAUCAACCCUGAGGCGUGAUGACGAUGCACCACGGUGCAGAAGCAGUUGAUGCCAUGCUUCCAGGAAAAGCCUCUAAGCAUCAGGUAACAUUAAAUCGUACCCCAAACCGACACAGGUGGUCAGGUAGAGAAUACUCAGGCGCUUGAGAGAACUCGGGUGAAGGAACUAGGCAAAAUGGUGCCGUAACUUCGGGAGAAGGCACGCUGGCGUUAGGUGAAAGGACUAGCUCCUGGAGCUGAAGCCAGUCGCAGAUACCAGCUGGCUGCAACUGUUUAAUAAAAACACAGCACUGUGCAAACACGAAAGUGGACGUAUACGGUGUGACGCCUGCCCGGUGCUGGAAGGUUAAUUGAUGGGGUCAGCCGCAAGGCGAAGCUCUUGAUCGAAGCCCCAGUAAACGGCGGCCGUAACUAUAACGGUCCUAAGGUAGCGAAAUUCCUUGUCGGGUAAGUUCCGACCUGCACGAAUGGCGUAAUGAUGGCCAGGCUGUCUCCACCCGAGACUCAGUGAAAUUGAACUCGCUGUGAAGAUGCAGUGUACCCGCGGCAAGACGGAAAGACCCCGUGAACCUUUACUAUAGCUUGACACUGAACAUUGAGCCUUGAUGUGUAGGAUAGGUGGGAGGCCUUGAAGUGUGGACGCCAGUCUGCAUGGAGCCAACCUUGAAAUACCACCCUUUAAUGUUUGAUGUUCUAACUCGGCCCCAUGAUCUGGGGUGAGGACAGUGUCUGGUGGGUAGUUUGACUGGGGCGGUCUCCUCCCAAAGAGUAACGGAGGAGCACGAAGGUUAGCUAAUCACGGUCGGACAUCGUGAGGUUAGUGCAAAGGCAUAAGCUAGCUUGACUGCGAGAGUGACGGCUCGAGCAGGUACGAAAGUAGGUCUUAGUGAUCCGGUGGUUCUGAAUGGAAGGGCCAUCGCUCAACGGAUAAAAGGUACUCCGGGGAUAACAGGCUGAUACCGCCCAAGAGUUCAUAUCGACGGCGGUGUUUGGCACCUCGAUGUCGGCUCAUCACAUCCUGGGGCUGAAGUAGGUCCCAAGGGUAUGGCUGUUCGCCAUUUAAAGUGGUACGCGAGCUGGGUUUAGAACGUCGUGAGACAGUUCGGUCCCUAUCUGCCGUGGGCGUUGGAAGAUUGAGAGGGGCUGCUCCUAGUACGAGAGGACCGGAGUGGACGAAUCACUGGUGUUCGGGUUGUCAUGCCAAUGGCAUUGCCCGGUAGCUAAAUUCGGAAGAGAUAACCGCUGAAAGCAUCUAAGCGGGAAACUUGCCUCGAGAUGAGUCUUCCCUGGGGCUUAAAGCCCCCUGAAGGAACGUUAAAGACUAUGACGUUGAUAGGCUGGGUGUGUAAGUGCAGCGAUGUAUUGAGCUAACCAGUACUAAUGAUCCGUGAGGCUUAACC
rnacentral:rRNA from 19 species